AUGUCGAGGAUCCUGAUGAAAGUCGGGAGUGCCCGUAAGGGAACUUGAACACAGGUGCUGCAUGGCUGUCGUCAGCUCGUGCCGUGAGGUGUUGGGUUAAGUCCCGCAACGAGCGCAACCCUCAUCCUUAGUUGCCAUCAUUAAGUUGGGCACCCUAAGGAAACUGCCGCAGUUAAUGCGGAGGAAGGUGGGGAUGACGUCAAGUCCUCAUGGCCCUUAUAUCCAGGGCUACACACGUGCUACAAUGGCCGGUACAAAGGGCAGCGACACAGCGAUGUGAAGCGAAUCCCGAAAAGCCGGUCUCAGUCCGGAUUGGAGUCUGCAACUCGACUCCAUGAAGUUGGAAUCGCUAGUAAUCGCGGAUCAGCACGCCGCGGUCGAAUACGUUCCCGGGCCUU
rnacentral:rRNA from 1 species